GGUUGUGGCUCAGUGGUAGAGUGGUCGCCUAGCAUGGGUGAGGCACUGGGUUUGAUCCUCAGCACCA
rnacentral:tRNA from 1 species